GCCGGGCAUGGUGGCUCAUGCCUGUAAUCCGAGCACUUUGGGAGGCUGAGGCAGGCGGAUCACCUGAGGUCAGGAGUUCAAGACUAGCCUGGCCAACAUGGUAAAACCCUGUCUCUA
rnacentral:SRP_RNA from 1 species